rnacentral:rRNA from 1 species
UGGGGAAUUUUCCGCAAUGGGCGCAAGCCUGACGGAGCAAGACCGCGUGAGGGAGGAAGGCCCUUGGGUUGUAAACCUCUUUUCUCAGGGAAGAAGAAAGUGACGGUACCUGAGGAAUCAGCCUCGGCUAACUCCGUGCCAGCAGCCGCGGUAAUACGGAGGAGGCAAGCGUUAUCCGGAAUCAUUGGGCGUAAAGCGUUCGCAGGCGGCGAUUCAAGUCUGCUGUCAAAGCCCGCAGCUCAACUGCGGACAGGCUGUGGAAACUGAAUCGCUAGUGUGCGGCAGGGGUAGAGGGAAGUCCCGGGGUAGCGGUGAAAUGCGUAGAUAGCGGGAAGAACACCAGUGGCGAAAGCGCUCGACUGGGCCGCAACUGACGCUCAGGGACGAAAGCGAGGGGAGCGAAAGGGAUUAGAUACCCCCGUAGUCC